GCCCUAGCUCAGUCAGUAAAAGCAUGUGACUCUUAAUCUUAGGGUCAUGGGUUCAAGUUCUAGGAUGACCU